UACGUAGGGUGCAGGCGUUAAUCGGAAUUACUGGGCGUAAAGCGUGCGCAGGCGGUUUGCUAAGACAGGUGUGAAAUCCCCGGGCUUAACCUGGGAACUGCGCUUGUUACUGGCAGGCUUGAGUGUGGCAGAGGGGGGUGGAAUUCCACGUGUAGCAGUGAAAUGCGUAGAGAUGUGGAGGAACACCGAUGGCGAAGGCAGCCCCCUGGGAUAACACUGACGCUCAUGCACGAAAGCGUGGGGAGCAAACAGG
rnacentral:rRNA from 1 species